GACGAACGCUGGCGGCGUGCUUAACACAUGCAAGUCGAACGGUGAACUCCGCUUGCGGGGGGAUCAGUGGCGAACGGGUGAGUAACACGUGGGCAACCUGCCCUCAGCUCUGGGAUAACUCCAAGAAAUUGGGGCUAAUACCGGAUAUGACCGCUGACCGCAUGGUCUGGUGGUGGAAAGAUUUAUCGGCUGGGGAUGGGCCCGCGGCCUAUCAGCUUGUUGGUGGGGUAGUGGCCUACCGAGGCGGCGACGGGUAGCCGGCCUGAGAGGGUGACCGGCCACACUGGGACUGAGACACGGCCCAGACUCCUACGGGAGGCAGCAGUGGGGAAUAUUGCGCAAUGGGCGAAAGCCUGACGCAGCGACGCCGCGUGGGGGAUGACGGCCUUCGGGUUGUAAACCUCUUUCAGCAGGGACGAAGCGAAAGUGACGGUACCUGCAGAAGAAGCACCGGCCAACUACGUG
rnacentral:rRNA from 1 species